AGUGUUUUGACGACUGCCUCACUAAAGGAAGCUAAAAGCUGUGCUGAUGCCUCCCAGACGAGCCUCGUUGGAAGCACAGAACCUUCACGGCUCGGAGCCGCUGACACCGUGACAAAGGGAGCCCUGCUCAGGUGAGACAAGGCUCGGGGGUUCAGAUGCUGGUCGUCUGGUACAGGUCUCUGCCGUGUGCAUGAGAACAAGUCCGUCUGCCAGGCUGGACGCUGCUAUCAGACAGAUUGAUUUGCCGAGUGUCUUUCAGCAUUUCCCUAAUUCCUUUUUGAAAAGCAAGAGCUAGGCUGAUCAUGCACCUGGGUCAUAAAGCCCACUCUAAAAUCAGGGAGAUGGCUUUAGAGAGGAUCCAGCCAAGGAGAAAACUAGGUCUGACUCUCGGAUGUGUCAGCAACUGCCCCGAGUCUGCUCAGUAGGUCCCCAGAGGUGAUUCCUCUCCAUAGUCUGUGAACUCAUCAUGGAAUGCUGGCAAUGGACUAUUCCACGGGGUCUGGAGUGCUGAGUUCUAGUUCAGAACCUGUCCUAGCGGCACCAGGAAGCCCUGUGGUGUUGGGCAAAUCACAUAACCUCUUGGUGUUUCUGUUCUUUAUUGAAAAAGAUGGUUAUGUAUUUGCCAUGACAGGUUCAAACUCCUUAGGGGUAAAAUUGUGCCCUAUUUACCUUUGUUUGCUGAGUCCUUGGCACAAGGCCUGGUGUUUGACACACCUAAAAAUUACCCAUGGACUCUGUGCUUUGGGACAGAAAAGGUGAUGACAAGAUGCAGGUGUAAACUUGGAAAGGCCAUGAGAUCUAGGUUAUAGUCUCAGUGAAGUCAGCUACCCAUUCAGAGCCCUGUAAAAUGAAUACAGCCAUGUUUUGUGUUGUGUGAUGACAUCAGUGCAGAUGUGAGCCAGACUUAGGCUCAUGGUGGGCACUUCAGCAGGUGCUAGCCCUGGUGGGCUUAGCUUUGUGUAUGUCAGACCCCAGUGACAGGUCUAAGGGUUGGAGAGGAGACCGGGAGUGAUGUCAGGCUCUGGGAUGAGGGCGUAUUUGGAACAGUAUGGCUGAAGCCCUGUCAUGAUGACCAAAUUGUUCUGAUGACUCUGAGCCAUUCCCCAGUUGGAGUCAAUCUCCAGGAUGACUGAUCCACUGGGCAGAGUCUGGUGUUAAGAGACAACACGGUGCUCGCAGUCAGGCAGAUGUUCUUGUUUCAAUACCAAACAGAUACAUCCAGAAGGCAAAUAGAAUGGUCUUAGCUUCCUGAUUAAAUCUCACUUGCCUCCCCCACUGCCUUGGGGGCCCUGUUCGAGCUUCCUCCUUUGCCUGACCGUGUUAAUAUUGGAGGACGUGAUCUCCAUUCUCUUGCUGCUAUAUUCCCUUCUGGCCUUAUUGUGGGAGAUGCCCUGCUUCAUUGCUUCCGUGACAACUAUUGCUUGUAUUUUUCUGCUUGCUUCCCGAUAUUUCUCAUCUUCAUGCCUCUGCUUAAGCUGGGCACCCUCUCCAGUGACCUGAAUGACUUGUAUUCAUUGUUUAAGGCUACGCUGCGCUCCCACUUCCUCCAAAACGCCUCCCCCUGAUCUUUUAGGUGUUUCUCUCCUUGUCCUGAAAAACACCCAGCAUUGUAUCUAUUACAUAAGAUUGUACUGCUAUUAUCUACACCCUGCCCCAUUCAUCUGUGCUCCUUGAAGGAAGGGACUGUGGUUUCACAUCCUGAUAUAUCCAGAGUCUAGUGCAAUGCCUGGCUCACAGGAUGGAGAACCUUGUCCAACUGUGGGGAGGAAGAAAGAAUAUCCAAUUUCUGGGAAGAUGACAAUUUCUGGGGGCUUCCAAGAGUUUCAUGGUCCUCAAGAAGACUGUGGCUCUGGUUGACAACAACAACCAGGAAACCAAAGUAGAAACCCAGAGCCCAGACACCAGCACUGGGGGUCUCAGGGAGGCUACAGCUCAAGGGCUGGGGGACAUGGGUGCUCUGGGCUCACUGUAGGGAGAGAGAUUCCCACAGUUGAAGGCACCCAGCUCCUCCAGGGCACCAGCCUUGGUUUGAGCUAUGCUGGAUGGGGCGGAGGCUGAACCUUGGUCUCACAAUGGAAUUAAGAUUGAAUGGUGGGGUGG
rnacentral:lncRNA from 1 species